GACGAACCGAGCGAACGUUGUUCGGAAUCACUGGGCUUAAAGGGCGCGUAGGCGGGUGCUCAAGUCCGUGGUGAAAUCCUCCGGCUCAACCGGAGAACUGCCUCGGAUACUGGGUGCCUCGAGGGUGGUAGGGGUAUGCGGAACUAUCGGUGGAGCGGUGAAAUGCGUUGAUAUCGAUAGGAACUCCGGUGGCGAAGGCGGCGACCUGGACGGAUACUGACGCUGAGGUGCGAAAGCGUGGGGAGCAAACAGG
rnacentral:rRNA from 1 species